AAUAAAGGACCAUAAACACCCCUGCUUAGUCAUGAGAUUUAUAGAAGUGUCAAUAUAAAGAGUUUGAGACAUAUAUCGAACUAAAUAUUUGAGUGAAUAACAAGGCACUAGAGCGCGGCGUGUCGGACUAAUAGACAUGCUAGUAUGCUCCAAAUGGUAAUAGGGCUUUGGGAUUGAGGGUGAUCGGGAUUCUACAUAGUUUUGCAGAGUACAAUGAUCUCUCCAUAUGACUUCGUUGUUGCAAGAAUGACUACAGAUAGAGGAGCUAAUCAGCCUAUUGCCGAGUUAGCAGUGCAAGAGUAGCACACCGAUCUCAGAUCAUGGUCCACCACAAUAAUGGAUCUCCUCGCGGGUGUGCUCUGUAUAUUACAUCUUGCCGCGGGCACGAUGAAGUGUCAUGGGUGGUUGCCGCCAGGUACUGUGAAUCAGUACCGUUCGAAAAGAUGAACGUAAAUGUGUGGUGACCGCGAAUAGACAUCUAUUGCGUUGUUUCCUUAGAAGAAUGCUGGGGCUAACUCGCAACUCCUCUUGUUCAUCCUCACAUUUCCUCUCAAAACUCUUUCAAAAACAAGGAUGAACACAGAUAUUUGGCACCACCACUGCUUCAUAAGUCGUCCUUUUGUAUGUCAAUUUCUUCUUCUCGUCACUAAAAACAAACAUGCUUACAAGUUCUUAAUUUUUAAGAAGUAAACUCACACACACACGCACACACAGAGCUACGUGGCCACACAUAUGCCACUAACCAAUACAUGCA
rnacentral:lncRNA from 1 species